AAAGGAUAGGGAAAAUAAAUCAUCCUGGGCAGAGGAAGAUUAAAAAAGAGAUGUUUGAAGUUCAGUCCAGAAAGAAUGGGGUUCUCAUUGCCUGGAGCACUGGAGCCAUCUUUGUGGUGGAAAUUGCAGAGAGCUCAGUCCCUUUCAGGAAGCUACUCCGUGAAACCCCCAUGGCUGUGAGAAGUCUUUGACUGGAGGACUCUCACAUCAUAUGCUACCUUUGCCAGUCCCGCCCACACCUGCGAAUCAGCUGCCAGCACUGCACCUGUGAUUUCUAAAUUGCCAUCUCCUGAUCUCUACGUAACCUCCGGUUGCACAUUUCCAGUUCCUUACCGGAUCUACCCCACAAAGGUCCAUAUGUUCCUCAACGUCUCCAAGACUUCAUCUAAUUGUCCUGCCUGCCACCCCCAUCUCUCCUUUAGCACUUCUAUUUCUUAUUUCCUAAGUCAAUUGAUAGGAUUGCAAGAAAGUUUGGGGUUAUCUUGGAAUACUUCCCGACUCACAACUCCUGCGCAGGUAACCAGCCACGAAUUCCUAUGAUUCUACCCCUAAAACUUCUCUGAGAUCUAUAGCCUAUUCUCUAUCCCCACUGCCACUGCCUGAGUUGGGCUUUUGCCAUCUUUGGUAGAGACUGUAGCAUCAAUAUCCAUAUCUAGUGCCUGCCCUGAGCCAUUCCUGACUCUGCAAUAAAGAGGAAGCCUUCUGACCAGUGAGACUAAGAUCCACCAUUGAAGAAUGAGGAGGAUAUUUACAGGACUUCCUUAAGCCAAUAAGCGUGAUCUUGCUAUAUUCCAAGAGCAUGCAGCUCAUUUGAGAAUGCUUCUCAUGUAAAUGUCCGUUGAGAGAAAUGCAAACACAGCCCAUUCACUGAUUUGCCCUUUGUGUUGUCUUUUCUAACUCCUUUUCCCUUAUGCGUGGGUGGAGUGCUAACAGCUGUACCAGGGAACAACUAAUCCCAUGGGCAACCCGCCGCCAGGGUCCAUCAUUCACAGAAGACAAUCUACUGUUUCUCAUUGUGCUCCAUGAUUCACCCACUGCAAGAGAAAACUAACACACAGAGUGAUUGUUCCAUCUCCCGUGGAGAGGGUCCUUAUUAUGACAGAGAAGUUAUUUUCUUUUCUGUGGUUUCUUAAGGGUUCUCUAAUUGGGUAACCCCCUGCUGACCCCCGGCUAUGGCAGUUUCUAUAUUGAUAUCUUUGUUCCACUGCUUGCACACUGAAGCCAGGAACGAGUAAUUCAAACCAACAGAGAGCAUAAGAUAAUGGGGCUUUUAUAAACUACUAGUGUUUAAAAGGCAAUGACCCUUUAAGUUCACUGGAGUUCUCUUCCAUUAAGAAUUUUUCUCACCUGUACACAACAGAUGGGGGAUGCAUUACAGCCCUGUGUCUGCUCCGGACGGGAGCUGAGCUCAUCUGCUAGACUUCAUGGACUUGAACCUGGACUGCUUUGGAGUUCAUUCAUGUUCUACCCACACUUGGAUAACAGCUCAGAAUAAGCACAGAAGCUUUCCAUUUUUUUGUUUUGAAUAAAUAUGGGAAAGUAUAAAGGGUAAUGGGAAAUAAAAUAAAAAUAUGGGAAAGUAUAAAGGAUAAUGUAACAAAAACCCAUAUUCCUAGAAAUGGUAACACCUAGAAAUAUUAACUUUUCAAAUUUUGUCCUAUUUGCUUGUGGUAUUUUAAUUUGAGAAAGUAUAAAGGAUGAUGUAACAAAAACCUAUAUUCCUAGAAAUGUUAACACCUAGAAAUAUUAACUUUUCAAAUUUUGUCAUAUGUGCUUGAAGUAUUUUUUUAAGGCAAUAAAGCAUUAGAGUUAAAACUAAAAUCCUCUUUAGCCUCCAACCCUAGUGUUCCCAGUCCGCACCCCAAGGGCCACUAUCAUCAUAGGAUGGUGUAUAGCUAUGCGGUCCGUUCAUUUCUUUUAUUUCUUUCUACUGAUAUGAAAUUUAUUUAUUGCAUUUCUAGUCUAUUAGUGUUAAUAAAGUUUUAAUGUGUAUACUUAUAUAUUUUUUCAAAACUUAAAAUUCACCAAUGUCUAUAUUCUCUGUAACAUGGCAAUAUAGUUACAUUCUGUGCUAUUUUCAAACACUCUCCUUAUCUGAACACCAUGUUAACACCUACGUCUCAGUUCAAGCUUAUUUUAAUCACAACAUUUUUUCUCUUUCUUUUCUUCUUUUCUUUUUUGUCUUCCUCUUUCUGUUACUGCUUUAGGAUUUAUUAAUUAUGAUAGGAUUGCAAGGACAUUUGGGGUUAUCUUGGAAUACUUCCCGACUCACAACUCUGUUGGAAGAAAUACUAGAAUCCUGUUUCUGCCGCAUUUGUGUCUUGAUCCUUGAAACUUAUGCCCUCUGUUCCUCAAGGACCUAAAACAGAAACACCACUCGACCCAGCAAUCCCAUUACUGGGUAUAUACCAAAAGGAGUAGAAAUUGUUCUAUCAUAAAGACACAUGCACACAUAUGUUCAUUGCAGCACUAUUUACAACAGCAAAGACAUGGAAUCGACCUAAAUGCCCAUCAGUGGUAGACUGGAUAAAGAAAAUGUUGUACAUAUACAACAUGGAAUACUACGCAGCCAGGAAAAAUGACAAGAUUAUGCCCUUUGCAGGAACAUGGGUGGAGCUGGAGGCAUUAUCCUUAGCAAACUAACAGAGGAAUAGAAAACUAAAUACUGCAUGUUCUCACUUACAAAUGCAAGCAAAAUGAUGAGAACACAUGGACACAAAGAGGGAAACAACACACACUGGGGUUUUUUCAGAGGGUGAAGUGUAGGAGGGAGAGGAUGGGGAAAAAUAAUAACUAAUGAGUACAAGGCUUAAUACCUGGGUGAUGAAAUAAUCUGUACGACAAACCCCCGUGACACAAGCUUACCUAUAUAACAGACCUGCACAUGUACGCCUGA
rnacentral:lncRNA from 1 species